ACGUAGGUGGCGAGCGUUGUCCGGAAUUAUUGGGCGUAAAGCGCGCGCAGGUGGUUAUACAAGUCUCAUUUAAAAGUGCUGAGCUCAACUCAGUGAUGGGUGAGAAACUGUAUGACUUGAGUGCAGGAGGGGUAGGCGGAAUUCCUAGUGGAGCGGGUGAAUGGGUAGAAAUUAGGGGGAACACCAGUGGCGGAGGCGGCCUUCUGGACUGGAACCUGCACCUGGGCGGGAAAAGCAGGGGAGCAAACGG
rnacentral:rRNA from 1 species